UACCAGCACCCCGAGUGGUCGGGACGUUUAUUGGGCCUAAAGCAUCCGUAGCCGGUUCUACAAGUCUUCCGUUAAAUCCACCUGCUUAACAGAUGGGCUGCGGAAGAUACGUAUGGAGCUAGGGGGCGGGAGAGGCAAGCGGUACUCGAUGGGUAGGGGUAAAAUCCGUUGAUCCAUUGAAGACCACCAGUGGCGAAGGCGGCUUGCCAGAACGCGCUCGACGGUGAGGGAUGAAAGCUGGGG
rnacentral:rRNA from 1 species